AGUGUAGACACACACAUUAUUAGAUCAUCUUAACGUGGCUUAUGUCGACCUAAGUUUGUAGUGUAUACUAGGCCUUAGAGUCUGCAGGUGCAGAUGCUACUUACCACUGGUGUAGGUUGUUGAAAGGGCAGCAGUGGACCCUGGGGGGAGGGAUAGCUCAGUGGUUUGAGCAUUGGUCUGCUAAACCCAGGGUUGUGAGUUCAAUCCUUGAGGGGGCCAUUUAGGGAUCUGGGGCAAAAUCAGUACUUGGUCCUGCUAGUGAAGGCAGGGGGCUGGACUCGAUGACCUUUCAAGGUCCCUUCCAGUUUUAGGAGAUGGGAUAUCUCCAUAUAUUAUUAUUAUUUAUUAUUAUAAACUGUGAGCUCCUUUACCACCUGUGCUGAAUAUCGAUGGUGUGCAGUCUACCUACACUCAGUCACUGUAUUCCACAACCUUUGAGGGUUAUCAUGGAUGCUGGAGCUCAUGUCGAAGUGAUAGCUGGAAAAACCAUUUGACCAACUGACGCAGACACAAAGCAACAACCUUCCAAGAUCGAAGUAGGUGAUGUUGCUUUUCCUCUACUAACAGGCAAUAAAAUGAUCAACUACACCCUGCUCUCAGUGCUAACUAACCCCUAUGAAGAAGUCUAAAGUGCAAGGAUUCAAGGAUUAACACAUGAGCAUCAUUAACACAUGCUGGGUUAAAUUUACACCUGAUGUAACAUUAAAUCAAUGGAGUUGAAUCUGGCCCAAUAUAACCAGUGUUUCCUUUCUAUUAAAGCAUCCCAAGUGAACAUCAGCUGUUUUAUGUAUCUCUGAAUCCAAGGAGGCAUAAAUCCAAGGAGGGAUAUUAAUGACACCAAGCAUCUGAGGAACUGAUUACAACCAGCUUUAUCAGGAAUCUAUCAAUCUAUAACAGGACACUAUGCAGCCAGGUUCUUCUGGCCUCAGUGAAACAACUUUAAAUUCUGCUUACACUGGAAAUCUCUGGUUCGAGUGCUCUUCCUACUUCACUCGACAGCAUCCAUGCAAAACAUCUGAAGCAUUUACUCUAAUCGAUACUCUGGCAGUUUGAGAUCGCUAAAAGAAAGAGGCUGCUAUCAUCUGAGCUGUGAAAUGCUCUGGAAGUGUAUAUUAAUCUUAAUAUAAUUGCCCGAAGGGCACCGGCUGACCUGCAUUGCCCUGCAGCAGAAGUUACUGUAAAGUUGACAAAUGAUUUUAACAGAGCUUUAGUGGUCACCUGAGGACAGUCAGUAUAUAGCACUGUACCCUGCUAUUUUAACUGCAAUGUAGGGUUUAAAUGACUUUUAAGAA
rnacentral:lncRNA from 1 species